GACGAACGCUGGCGGCGUGCCUAACACAUGCAAGUCGAACGGGAUCCAUGGGAGCUUGCUCCCGGAAGAUCUAGUGGCGAACGGGUGAGUAACACGUGAGAAACCUGCCUCGGAGUCGGGGGAUAACUCGGGGAAACCCGAGCUAAUACCGGAUACCUUCCUCGGACCGCAUGGUCCGUUGAAGAAAGAUUCAUCGCUCCGAGAUGGUCUCGCGGCCUAUCAGCUAGUUGGUGGGGUAACGGCCCACCAAGGCUACGACGGGUAGCUGGUUUGAGAGAAUGAUCAGCCACACUGGGACUGAGACACGGCCCAGACUCCUACGGGAGGCAGCAGUGGGGAAUCUUGCGCAAUGGGCGAAAGCCUGACGCAGCAACGCCGCGUGCGGGAAGAAGGCCUUUGGGUUGUAAACCGCUUUCAGCAGGGACGAAACUGACGGUACCUGCAGAAGAAGGUCCGGCUAACUACGUG
rnacentral:rRNA from 1 species